AUGUCCGCCCUUGAUGGAAAGCAAUGGAGCCUCUUAAAUUCGUCUUUCAUCGUGCUUAUCCCUAAGAAAGACAAUGCCCUCAGACCACAUGACUUCAGGCCCAUCAGUUUGACUCACAGUGUUGCCAAGAUUCUCGGAAAACUCCUUGCUAGCAGAGUGGCUCCCCAACUUCAGCACAUCAUCUUAGUAAGCCAAAGCGCUUUCCUAAAGGGCAGAAGUAUUCAAGAUAAUUUCCUCUAUGUCCAGAAUCUCAUCCAGUGCCUACACCGUGACAAGAAACCCACCAUGUUCUUGAAACUUGAUAUUGCAAAAGCUUUUGAUUCUGUCAAGUGGGAUUACCUGUUGGAUGUUAUGAAACAAGUGGGAUUCAGUUAG
rnacentral:rRNA from 1 species